rfam:Oryza glaberrima chromosome 5 Oglab05_0123_15, whole genome shotgun sequence.
AAAAAGACAAACCCUGGUGUUUCCGUGUCCAACGUUUGACCGUCCGUCUUAUUUGAAAAAAUUAUAAAAAAAAAUAAAAAAGACAAGUCACGCAUAAAAUAUUAAUCAUGUUUUAUCAUCUAACAACAAUAAAAAUAUGAAUUAUAAAAAAAAUUCAUAUAAGACGGACAAUUAAAGUUGGACAUGGAAACCCUGAGUUUGCCUUUUU